CGUUUAGUGGUUUAGUGAUUAGCAUGUUUGCCUUGCAUCUCCAGAGUUGGGGGUUCGAUUCCCUCCUCUACCC